rnacentral:tRNA from 1 species
GGUGUCGUCUAGUGGUUAGGACCCCAGAUUGUGGCUCUGGAAACCGGGGCUCAAACCCCCGCAC